rnacentral:rRNA from 1 species
CAAUAGCGUAUAUUAAAGUUGUUGCAGUUAAAAAGCUCGUAGUUGAAUUUUUGCUUGCCGCCGAUGUCGGAACUUCCGUACGUUCGGCGGCGUGCAUCCUUGGGUGGAACCUGUGUGGCCUUAGGUUGUCGUGCAGGGGAUGCUCAUCGUUUACUGUGAAAAAAUUAGAGUGUUCAAAGCAGGCUUACGCCGUUGAAUAUAUUAGCAUGGAAUAAUAAGAUAGGACCUUGGUACUAUUUUGUUGGUUUGCGCACCGAGGUAAUGAUUAACAGGGACAGUUGGGGGUAUUCGUAUUCCAUUGUCAGAGGUGAAAUUCUUGGAUUUCUGGAAGACGAACUACUGCGAAAGCAUUUACCAAGGAUGUUUUCAUUAA